rnacentral:misc_RNA from 1 species
GAUGGUAUGUGAUUGGUGAUAUAUAGUUGUUGUCUUCUGCAUGAGUUCUUGCCAUGUGAUAUCCUUGCUUAAUCGAAUAAUCCGUGUAUCACCUCCUACAUAUCUGAGCUUUCCAUCGCUUGGCCGGGGUAAAAUUUUUCCACCAAAGCUGCAUAGGAAUUUCAUCCUUCUGGAAGUAAUUUCGGAAGCAGAAGAAUAUCCAUGGGAAGGUCCUCGACUACUGCCGUCACCUGAUGAGAUUCGAGGUGCAGACCUUGUUGAUGCAUAUUGACCUUUAUUUUCAAAUUCUGAAAGGCUUUUCCUGUCCAUCUCUUUAAAUUGACCCUUAUCUAUGGUGGCAUGCAUUGAAACACUUGAUCCACUUUCAGAUUCAGUACGAGAAACACCUAGUACGCCCCUUAGGUCCAUAUAACCUGUUGUGGCCAAGUUUUGAUCU